UCAGAGAGGUGACAGGAGUUAAAUCGAGAUAGUUACCAGGCUUACAACCCUUCUGAACUAUAAGCUGGAGGAAGUACUAUUUGCUAAUGAGUUACAGUGAAUGAAAUUAUUACUGAUGGGAAAAUUUGAGGCUGAAGUUUGGAGAGCUAUAGGCAGUAUAUGUGGUUAUAUAAAGGAGAAUGGAUAUGUGAAGUAUCUUAUCUGGAAUUAUGCUAUAGUACACAUUUCCCACAGUCAUGUUAGUUCAGGUGGAACUUAUAGUUUCAAGGGCCCCUAUCUAACUAUGAUGAACAAUUUCCUACAAAGGGUAGUAGGGAAUGAUAAUAUUCUAAUGGUUAAGUUGGGAAAGGAGACACAAAAAGAAUUUUCUAGGGUUAAUUACAAGUGUUACAUAGUGUGAAAGAUGUGUUGGUAGGAGCCAAUCAUAAGGUUAGAAUUCUAGAAGUAAUGGAACUAGUAAUAAAGAUAGGACUAAGAAAUAAAAAGA
rnacentral:misc_RNA from 1 species